rnacentral:rRNA from 1 species
GAUCCUGGCUCAGAGUGAACGCUGGCGGCAGGCCUAAUACAUGCAAGUCGAACGGCAGCACAGUGGAGCUUGCUCCAUGGGUGGCGAGUGGCGGACGGGUGAGGAAUACAUGGGAAUCUGCCCAGUCGUGGGGAUAACGUAUGGAAACGUACGCUAAUACCGCAUGCGUCCUUCGGGGGAAAGUCGGGGACCGCAAGGCCUGACGCGAUUGGAUGAGCCCAUGUUCGAUUAGCUAGUUGGCGGGGUAACGGCCCACCAAGGCGACGAUCGAUGGCUGGUCUGAGAGGAUGAUCAGCCACACUGGAACUGAGACACGGUCCAGACUCCUACGGGAGGCAGCAGUAGGGAAUAUUGGACAAUGGGCGCAAGCCUGAUCCAGCCAUGCCGCGUGAGUGAAGAAGGCCCUCGGGUUGUAAAGCUCUUUUGUUGGGGAAGAAAAGCAGUUGGUUAAUACCCGAUUGUUCUGACGGUACCCAAAGAAUAAGCACCGGCUAACUUCGUG